UACCAGCACCCCGAGUGGUCGGGACGAUUAUUGGGCCUAAAGCAUCCGUAGCCGGUCCUACAAGUCUUCCGUUAAAUCCACCUGCUUAACAGAUGGGCUGCGGAAGAUACUAUAGGGCUAGGAGGCGGGAGAGGCAAGCGGUACUCAGUGGGUAGGGGUAAAAUCCUCUGAUCCACUGAAGACCACCAGUAGCGAAGGCGGCUUGCCAGAACGCGCUCGACGGUGAGGGAUGAAAGCUGGGGGAGCAAACCGG
rnacentral:rRNA from 1 species